UCUCGAUUGGUCUAGUGGUUAGGAUACCUGCUUGUCAUUAGUUGAUGUUAAUCUCACGAUCGUGGAGACUAACGCCUACAUCUUCUAACAAGCAAAUCGCAGGUGGCCGGGGUUCGAUUCCCCGAUCGAGAG